rnacentral:rRNA from 1 species
UACAGAGGUCUCAAGCGUUGUUCGGAUUCAUUGGGCGUAAAGAGCUCGUAGGCGGCUUGUCGCGUCGUCCGUGAAAACCUGCAGCUCAACUGCAGGCUUGCGGGCGAUACGGGCAGGCUAGAGUUCGGUAGGGGAGACUGGAAUUCCUGGUGUAGCGGUGAAAUGCGCAGAUAUCAGGAGGAACACCGGUGGCGAAGGCGGGUCUCUGGACAGUUCCUGACGCUGAGGCACGAAGGCCAGGGGAGCAAACGGG